rnacentral:lncRNA from 1 species
CGCAGAUUGCUGUCGGUAGCGUCUUUGAUUCUACCGGAGUCCGAGAGAUGAUUUAUCCAAUCCACCAAGUUGCCUUUGAAUCCUUCUUCACCACCUGCAUUAACUUCCAGGGGUUUUUGCCUCGUUACCAAUUCGAGAAGCACCACUCCGAGUCCGAACACAUCACCUUUAAGCGAAGCUACCGUUGUGGUUGAGUACUCUGGAGCUAUAUAGCCUAAUUCACCUAAAGCUCCUUCCAUAAAGCUAGUCUCAUUAACAUCCGAGUUAUUCAUAAACCCUGCCAAUCCAAAGUCCAUUAUCCUGGCAUCCAAGUCCUCGUCGAGAAGAAUCACAAUGGAGCUGAUGUUCUGCUGCAGAAAUGGAGGCCUGCACCCAUGGUGCAGCCAAGCAAGACCCCUGGC